rnacentral:rRNA from 1 species
UACGAAGGGGGCUAGCGUUGUUCGGAUUUACUGGGCGUGAAGCGCACGUAGGCGGAUCGUUAAGUCGGGGGUGAAAUCCUGGAGCUCAACUCCAGAACUGCCUUCGAUACUGGCGAUCUCGAGUCCGGAAGAGGUGAGUGGAACUCCUAGUGUAGAGGUGGAAUUCGUAGAUAUUAGGAAGAACACCAGUGGCGAAGGCGGCUCACUGGUCCGGUACUGACGCUGAGGUGCGAAAGCGUGGGGAGCAAACAGG